rnacentral:rRNA from 1 species
AUUGAACGCUGGCGGCAGGCCUAACACAUGCAAGUCGAACGGUAACAGGAAGCAGCUUGCUGCUUCGCUGACGAGUGGCGGACGGGUGAGUAAUGUCUGGGAAACUGCCUGAUGGAGGGGGAUAACUACUGGAAACGGUAGCUAAUACCGCAUAACGUCGCAAGACCAAAGAGGGGGACCUUCGGGCCUCUUGCCAUCGGAUGUGCCCAGAUGGGAUUAGCUAGUAGGUGGGGUAACGGCUCACCUAGGCGACGAUCCCUAGCUGGUCUGAGAGGAUGACCAGCCACACUGGAACUGAGACACGGUCCAGACUCCUACGGGAGGCAGCAGUGGGGAAUAUUGCACAAUGGGCGCAAGCCUGAUGCAGCCAUGCCGCGUGUAUGAAGAAGGCCUUCGGGUUGUAAAGUACUUUCAGCGGGGAGGAAGGCGAUAAGGUUAAUAACCUUGUCGAUUGACGUUACCCGCAGAAGAAGCACCGGCUAACUCCGUGCCAGCCGCCGCGGUAA